GAUUUGAGAGGGCAGAGGAGACAGGGAUGGAGCAGAGCAAGGGAUGGGGCAAACAACAAACUUCAACUGCUUCCUUCCACUGAUCACCUCCUGAUUAUAUGACAAGAGCGAGAGAGUUGUGAGAGAUGAGAGCUUCUGUUAUUGUUGUUGUUGUUGCUCCCUCCCUGCACUGCCUCUUCCCUGUACUCGCUCCGUUCUAAAAUAG
rfam:Triticum aestivum genome assembly, contig: Triticum_aestivum_CS42_TGACv1_scaffold_603982_7DL